CAUAUUUACUCUUCUCAUCUGUUCUCUCUCUCUCUCUCCACCGCCAAUCUCAUUAAAGUCUCUCUUUUUCUCUCUCUCUCUUUCUCUCCGCCGAUGGUAAACGACGGCGACUCUCACCGCAACUAAAAGGGGCAACAAAACAGUCGCAAAAUGGCGGAGGAAGACGUGUCGCGCAAUUUCCGAGCCCUGGUGGAGAACGCGGACCGCAAGUUCGCGAGAAUCCGCGAUCUCCCGGCCUUCGGGCGAGCGCAGAGCCACUACUUCCACAAGGUCUUCAAGGCCUACAUGAAGCUCUGGAAUUACCAGCAGUCCCACAGGCCCAAGCUCGUCGCGUCGGGGCUGAACCGGUGGGAGAUCGGCGAGAUCGCGAGCCGGAUUGGGCAGCUCUACUUCAGCCAGUACAUGAGGACCAGCGAGGCUCGCUUCCUCCUCGAGUCCUACGUCUUCUACGAGGCCAUUCUCAAGCGGAGGUACUUCGAGGAAGGGGAGGAGAGGAAGGAUCUCAGCGCGAGGUCCAAGGAGCUGAGGUUCUACGCGAGGUUCUUGCUCGUUGCGUUGAUUGUUGAUCGGAGGGAGAUGGUUUUGCACUUGGCUGAGAAGCUUAGGGCUUUGGUUGAUGACAGCAAGUCUAGUUUUAGGGAGACCAACUUUAAGGAGUGGAGGAUAGUUGUGCAAGAGAUCACUCGGUUUACUAAAGCUGACGUGGACUUAACUUAUGUCAGGCCGCUUCGUUACUGCGCUAUGCUUGAUUCCUAUCCAGCUUCUCAGACGUACCUUGCGAGGUUCCACGCUAAGAAGCUGUUCAAGUUUCGUGAUGCUCUAUUAGCUAGCUAUCACCGUAACGAGGUGAAAUACGCUGAAGUGACGUUGGAUACGUAUAGAAUGAUGCAGUGUUUAGAGUGGGAGCCUAGUGGGUCUUUUUAUCAGAAGCGUCCUGUUGAGACGAAAGAGAAUGGUUUUGUGGUUGAUCAUACGUUAACAUCUGGGAUUAUAGAUAUGAAAUUGGCUGCUGAUAUGGCUGAUCCUUCGUUACCUCCUAAUCCUAGGAAAGCUGUUCUUUAUCGUCCCACAGUGUCCCACUUGCUUGCGGUCUUGGCAAUGAUAUGUGAUGAGCUCUCUCCAGAGUGUGUGAUGCUGAUAUAUCUAUCUGCUUCAGGUGGUCCUGCUGCUCGUGAGAAUGUUGCGCAACCGGAGAACGCUGUCGGUUCAAGCAGAACAUCAAAAAGCAAGGUGCUUGGCCGAGCUUCCCAAGAACAGAAGAGUUAUAAGUCAGAACCUCAUAGCAAUGGACACAAAUCUUCUGGGGGUUAUUAUGAUGAUUAUCUUUGGUUAGGUCCUAGAGGAGGCUCUGGUUCAAACAACCUUUACCCUGGUGAUCUAAUCCCUUUUACAAGGAAACCGCUUUUCUUGGUCAUUGAUAGCGACACUAGCCGAGCAUUCAAGGCAGGUUUUGAAUGGUACAGAGAGAGGAGAGCCUGUUGCUCUACUUCUUUCUCCUCUGAAGCCAUCUUUGGAGAACCCAUCAUCUGCUGAUGAUACAGCAGCAGCACUAAACGGAAGUCAGUUUACUUUUUUCUUGACAGCUCCUUUACAGGCAUUCUGUCAAAUGCUGGGCCUCUCGAACUCGGAUCCCGAACCUGAGGUUUAUGAUGAAGCAGAGAGCAUACUAUCUGCUUCUUUCUCUGAGUGGGAAACGAUCCUCUUGACUUCCAAAGUCUUGAAUCUAGUCUGGGCUCAGGUCUUGCCUGAUCAGUUCUUGAGACGGCUGAUUCUCAGAUUCAUAUUCUGCCGGUCUGUACUCACUUCCUUGAGCCGCACAGAGAAUGAUGACCCGUAUUUACCACAAUGCCACCCAAGUCUCCCAGAUUCGCUCUCACCGGUGUCUAAAACGGUGCAGUCCACAGUAGAACGGCUAGCUGAUCACUUGGGUGUUGCCAAAUCUUUCCACUUCAACAAGACAUAAAAACUAGAGAAACCUAUGAGCCUCUCUCUCACUCUCUAUCUCCAUCUCUGUGGUUGGAGGUUGGUAGGUGGAAUAGGUUGUAUGUUCACUUUUUUUUUAUAGAAAAAGUCUGUAUUUUUUUAGGGUAUAAAGGAAGUGUAAUUUGGAGAUUGAAUUUUUUUUCUUUCUAGUUUUGAUGAUUCUUUAGUUUUGUGUUGUUCUUUGUAAAAGAUUAGAACCCAGGUAAUAAUUUACUAGUCUCUUUUCCUUCUCUCUUCUCAGGAUGGUUUGUUUUGUGUAUCUGAGGAUAUGAGGUAAAACUCUGCAUUGCAUAAAUAAAAGUGUGUCAUUGUUUCUUUA